GGGGGAAUAGGCAGGGAGGAGGGUCUCUAGGCAAAUUCCAGGGCUAGAGGCUGAGACUUAGUGACUGAGGUGCUGGGGGUUGUGGGGCUGUGACAGGCAGAGGGAGGUGUCAGAUACCAGGACAAGGGUGUUGUGAAUGCUACCUCCUGCCCCUACUCUUGGGAUGGCUCCAAGGGCUGAGGUGUGAAUCCCCAGUGUGCUCCAGGAAUGGGGCUGUGUGAGCCACCGUGCCCAGCUCCCUGGCCUUAAAAGUCAUGUAAUUUAAUGAUCAGACCCCAGUCACAGCCAUAGGAUACAAAGAAGCAAAGGCAAAGAGCCCUGUGUCCUGGGCACGGUUACAGGCCAGUGUAGGGAAAGAGCUUCUGCUUGCCAGUGUGAAGAACAGAGGAGUUUAGGAAGUGUGAGUCAGGCUCAGCUUAGUCAGGCAGAGACCAGUGGGCAUGGGUUACCUGGGGGUAACGCGGGCCAGGUGGGCGGGCUGGCAGCCUGGGGCCCAUUUCCUGCCAAAGCACCUCUGACCAUCCUUCUCUUCACCCAGGUACUACUACAAACGGGAGAUCCUGGAACGGGUGGAUGGCCGGCGACUCGUCUACAAGUUUGGCAAAAACUCAAGCGGCUGGAAGGAGGAAGAGGUUCUCCAGAGUCGGAACUGAGGGUUGGAACUAUACCCGGGACCAAACUCACGGACCACUCGAGGCCUGCAAACCUUCCUGGGAGGACAGGCAGGCCAGAUGGCCCCUCCACUGGGGAAUGCUCCCAGCUGUGCUGUGGAGAGAAGCUGAUGUUUUGGUGUAUUGUCAGCCAUCGUCCUGGGACUCGGAGACUAUGGCCUCGCCUCCCCACCCUCCUCUUGGAAUUACAAGCCCUGGGGUUUGAAGCUGACUUUAUAGCUGCAAGUGUAUCUCCUUUUAUCUGGUGCCUCCUCAAACCCAGUCUCAGACACUAAAUGCAGACAACACCUUCCUCCUGCAGACACCUGGACUGAGC
rnacentral:lncRNA from 1 species